ACGCUCUGUUUGCACAUCCACUCACACAUGUGCACCCUCUGUAGUUCUGCAGCCUGGGGGCUCUGUCCCCCUUGCCGUGGUUCUAUGUAUUUACAUACACACUGUAAUAAAGUCUCAUGGAAUGUGUGCCGCGUUUAACGCAAUACAAUACAACUUUCAGCAACGGAUCUCUUGGCUCUCGCAUCGAUGAAGAACGCAGCGAAAUGCGAUAAGUAAUGUGAAUUGCAGAAUUCAGUGAAUCAUCGAAUCUUUGAACGCACCUUGCGCCCUUUGGCCAUUCCGAAGGGCAUGCCUGUUUGAGUAUCAUGAACACCUCAACUCUCAUGGCUUGCCAUGAUGAGCUUGGACUUUGGGGGUCUUGCUGGCCUGCGGUCGGCUCCUCUCAAAUGAAUCAGCUUGCCAGUGUUUGGUGGCAUCACAGGUGUGAUAACUAUCUACGCUUGUGGUUUUCCACCAGGUAACCUUCAGUGAUGGAGGUUCGCUGGAGCUCAUAAAUGUCUCUCCUCGGUGAGGACAGCUCUUUGAACGUUUGAUCUCAAAUCAGGUAGGACUACCCGCUGAACUUAAGCAUAUCAUA
rnacentral:rRNA from 1 species